CCCUUAGAAGUCCUGGGCUGCACGCGCGCUACACUGACACGAUCAGCAAGUUUCUUUGUCCGAUGGGAUUGAGGAAUCUUUUGAAAUCGUGUCGUGAUGGGGAUAGAUCAUUGUAAUUUUUGAUCUUCAACGAGGAAUUCCUAGUAAGUGCAAGUCAUCAACUUGUGCUGAUUAUGUCCCUGCCAAUUGUACACACCGCCCGUCGCUGCUACCGAUUGGUGAUUAGGUGAACAAAAUGGAUGACCUAUGGUCAGAAGUCUUGUAAACCUCAUCAUUAAGAGGAAGCAAAANUCGUANCA
rnacentral:rRNA from 1 species